rnacentral:rRNA from 1 species
UACGGGGGGGGCAAGCGUUGUUCGGAAUUACUGGGCGUAAAGGGCUCGUAGGCGGCCAACUAAGUCAGACGUGAAAUCCCUCGGCUUAACCGGGGAACUGCGUCUGAUACUGGAUGGCUUGAAUCCGGGAGAGGGAUGCGGAAUUCCAGGUGUAGCGGUGAAAUGCGUAGAUAUCUGGAGGAACACCGGUGGCGAAGGCGGCAUCCUGGACCGGCAUUGACGCUGAGGCGCGAAAGCUAGGGGGAGCAAACGGG